rnacentral:rRNA from 1 species
GCGAAAGCGAGUCUGAAUAGGGCGUUUAGUUGCAUGGAUUAGACCCGAAACCGUGUGAGCUACCCAUGACCAGGGUGAAGCGAAAUUAACGUUUCGUGAAGGCCCGAACCCUUGUACGCUGCAAAGUGCUGGGAUGAGUUGUGGGUAGAGGAGAAAUUCCAAACGAACACGGAGAUAGCUGGUUCUCCCCGAAAUGUAUUUAGGUACAGCCUUAGGUAUUAACUGAUGGAGGUAGAGCACUGGAUGAGCUAGCGGGCGCAAGUUUAGCAAACUCAACCAAACUAAGAAUGCCAUCAGCCGAAUCCUAGGAGUGAGACAGUGACGGAUAAGCGCCAUUGUCGAAAGGGAAACAGCCCAGAUCGCAAGCUAAGGUCCCAAAGUUAUAGUUAAGUGGUAAAGGAAGUUGGAUCGCCCAGACAGCUAGUAGGUUGGCUUAGAAGCAGCCAUCCUUUAAAGAGUGCGUAAUAGCUCACUAGUCGAGGGGUUCUGCGCCGAAAAUUAUCGGGGCUAAACUAUACACCGAAGCUGCGGGAUUCUUUAUGAAUCGGUAGGGGAGCGUUCUCAAUGCACUGAAUCUGAAUUGUGAAAUUUGGUGGAGCGUUGAGAAGUGAGAAUGUCGGCAUGAGUAGCGACAAUCUUUGUGAGAAUCAAAGACACCGGAAGUCCGAGGUUUCCUACGCAACGUUGAUCGGCGUAGGGUUAGUCGGUCCUAAGGAGAAGCCGAAAGGUGAAUUCGAUGGACAGCUGGUCAAAAUUCCAGCACCGUAAUUAUCCUGUUAUGCAACGAAGGGACGCGAUAAGGACUGUUAAGCAUGCCUAUGGACAUGGUGUGUGGGGCCUUGUAGGGAAGUGAUUGUGGUUAAAAGAACAGUUACGUUAUUAACUGAGAAGGUUUCAGACCUUAAGGCUUCGGCCUUAGGGAAUUUAACACGAACUACGUCGCCAAGAAAAGCUUCGUUGAUAGGGAUAUUAUGACCGUACCGAAAACCGACACAGGUGGACAGGGGUAAAAGCCCCAAGGUGAACGAGAAAACCAUCCUCAAGGAACUCGGCAAAUUAACCCCGUAACUUCGGAAUAAGGGGAGCCUAAAGUAUAUAGACCUCGCGUUGAAAGUAUUUUAGGCCGCAGAGAAUUGGUCUGAGCGACUGUUUAUCAAAAACACAGGUCCGUGCUAAAGCGAAAGCUGAUGUAUACGGGCUGACGCCUGCCCAGUGCCGGUAGGUUAAAGUGAAGAGUGAGAGCUUUGAUCUGAAGUCCCGGUGAACGGCGGCCGUAACUAUAACGGUCCUAAGGUAGCGAAAUCCCUUGUCGGGUAAGUUCCGACCUGCACGAAAGGCGUAACGACUUGGACACUGUCUCGAGGGUGGACUCGGUGAAAUUGCAUGACCCGUAAAGAUGCGGGUUACGCGCAGCAGGACAAAAAGACCCCGUGGAGCUUUACUGUAGCUUGGCAUUGAAUUGUGAUUAAUGAUGUGUAGGAUAGGCGGGAGACUAUGAAUUUUGAGCGUCAGCUCAAUUGGAGUCGCCCUUGAAAUACCGCCCUUCUUUGGUCUUGAUUCUAACUUUUUUAGGACAGUGUCUGGUAGGCAGUUUGACUGGGGCGGUCGCCUCCUAAAAUGUAACGGAGGCGCCCAAAGGUAACCUCAGGCUGGAUGGAAAUCAGCUUUUGAGUGCAUUGGCAUAAGGUUGCUUGACUGCGAGACCAACAAGUCGAGCAGGGACGAAAGUCGGGCAAAGUGAUCCCACGGUACCGAGUGGAAGGGCCGUGGCUUAACGGAUAAAAGCUACCCCGGGGAUAACAGGCUUAUCUCCCCCAAGAGUCCAUAUCGACGGGGAGGUUUGGCACCUCGAUGUCGGCU